AAUAUUGCACAAUGGAGGGAACUCUGAUGCAGCAACGCCGCGUGAGUGAAGAAGGUUNNNGGAUCNUCAAACUCUGUCAUUGGNGACNAAUAAAUGACGGUACCCAAUGAGGAAGCCCCGGCUAACUACGUGCCAGCAGCCGCGGUAAUACGUAGGGAGCGAGCGUUGUCCGGAAUUACUGGGCGUAAAGGGUGCGUAGGCGGCUACGUAAGUCAGAUGUGAAAUCCCCGGGCUUAACUCGGGGGGUGCAUUUGAAACUGCGUGGCUUGAGUGCAGGAGAGGAAAGUGGAAUUCCUAGUGUAGCGGUGGAAUGCGUAGAUAUUAGGAGGAACACCAGUGGCGAAGGCGACUUUCUGGACUGUAACUGACGCUGAGGCACGAAAGCGUGGGGAGCAAAC
rnacentral:rRNA from 1 species